rnacentral:rRNA from 1 species
AUGCNACNUUGUACCGCNUUAUUGGGUCGUAAAGCGCGCNCAGGCGGUCUUUUAAGUCUGAUGUGAAAGCCCCCGGCUUAACCGGGGUAGGGCAUUGGAAACUGGAAGACUGGAGUGCAGAAUAGGAGAGUGGAAUUCCACGUGUAGCGGUGAAAUGCGUACAUAUGUGGAGGAACACCAGUGGCGAAGGCGACUCUCUGGUCUGUAACUGACNCUGAGGCGCGAAAGCGUGGGGAGCAAACAGGAUUAGAUACCCUGGUAGUCCACGCCGUANACGAUGAGUGCUAAGUGUUAGGGGGUUUCCGCCCCUUAAUGCUGCAGCUAACGCAUUANNCACUCCGCCUGGGGAGU